GGGGAAUAUUGCACAAUGGGGGAAACCCUGAUGCAGCGACGCCGCGUGAGCGAUGAAGUAUUUCGGUAUGUAAAGCUCUAUCAGCAGGGAAGAAAAUGACGGUACCUGACUAAGAAGCCCCGGCUAACUACGUGCCAGCAGCCGCGGUAAUACGUAGGGGGCAAGCGUUAUCCGGAUUUACUGGGUGUAAAGGGAGCGUAGACGGCUGUGCAAGCCAGAUGUGAAAGCCCGGGGCUCAACCCCGGGACUGCAUUUGGAACUGUAUGGCUGGAGUGUCGGAGAGGCAGGCGGAAUUCCUAGUGUAGCGGUGAAAUGCGUAGAUAUUAGGAGGAACACCAGUGGCGAAGGCGGCCUGCUGGACUGUAACUGACGUUGAGGCUCGAAGGCGUGGGGAGCAAACAGG
rnacentral:rRNA from 1 species